rnacentral:rRNA from 1 species
CCCCGAUGACCGGAAUAACUCUAGGAAACCAGAGCUAAUACCGGAUGUGCCUUCCCCUCACGAGAGGGUCAGGUAAAGGUAGCUUCGGCUAUCCGCAUUGGGAGGAGCCUGCGCAGCAUUAGCUAGUUGGUGGGGUAAAGGCCUACCAAGGCGACGAUGCUUAGCUGGUCUGAGAGGACGAUCAGCCACACUGGAACUGAGACACGGUCCAG